rnacentral:sRNA from 3 species
AUAUCUCUCUGUACGGGAAGGAUGAGAAGCUUCGACUAAGGUUCGAUUCGAGCGCAGCGAGAAAGCGUUG